CCAGUUUGAAUGAAGCUAGCUAGCGAUGAUCGGACCAUCGGACUUAAGCCAAUGAACUAGCUGUCUUGGCAGUUCCGGUGUCCCGUUUCAAGUUUUGAAUUCACAAACGAAGCGCCCAUUCUAGUGCCGUCGUCUUGUAGCGAGUGUAAAGGAAGGAAGAUUCAUAGGCCUAAGAAAAUUUGCCAAGUCGCAUUGAAGUAAAAACGGGUCAAGCAUCAAGGCCCAAUCGAUCACAAAGAACAUACAGAAGACCAUGUUUGGUGAGCACAUGAUUCACUCUAAAAAGUACUGUACGCUAUGUGAAGCAAGAAGUAAACAACGAAUAAUCGUGUAUUUUCUG